rnacentral:rRNA from 1 species
AGAACGAACGCUGGCGGCAUGCCUAACACAUGCAAGUCGAACGUGAUCCAGGCUUCGGCCUGGUGAAAGUGGCAGACGGGUGAGUAACGCGUGGGAACCUGCCCUGUGGUAGGGAAUAACCGUGGGAAACUGCGGCUAAUACCCUAUGAGUCCUUCGGGAGAAAGAUUUAUCGCCAUAGGAGGGGCCCGCGUCGGAUUAGGUAGUUGGUGGGGUAACGGCCUACCAAGCCUUCGAUCCGUAGCUGGUCUGAGAGGAUGAUCAGCCACACUGGGACUGAGAUACGGCCCAGACUCCUACGGGAGGCAGCAGUGGGGAAUAUUGGACAAUGGGGGCAACCCUGAUCCAGCAAUGCCGCGUGGAUGAUGAAGGCCUUCGGGUUGUAAAGUCCUUUCGGCGGGAAGAUGAUGACGGUACCGCAGAGAGCCCGGCUAACUCGCGCCAGCAGCCGC